UUGGUUUCAUGAACGGGGCCACGUAUUUCGGGGAGCACACCAGCAUUGUCACCAGCUAUGGCAAGUGUCUGCUGGUGUAGUAGCCUCUCUAGCCUGUGGUGCUGGGGCUUUACAGAGGAGGCUCUGGAAGCCUGUUCUGGCACCACUGGGUUCUUGACCUAUAAUCUAUGCUGAGUACUGAGGAUUUUCCUAUCUAUUUUCCUUCCUUCUGUAUGUUCAUAAUGCGCCAACAGGCUGUCACUGCAGUAGACAGGGCUUUCCGGGACUUAGAGCUCUGCUUCACGCGUCUGGUAUACUGCCCUGUUGGCUUGAACCUCUGAAGAGAGGCAGGGUAGGAGCGGUGACUGCUGUAAAGGCACAGACCUGCACGGCCGGGCGAUACACACUGAGCAAAGAAAAGAGUGCCCGUUGCAGGGGUGUCCACUCUUUUGGCUUCCCUGGGCCACACUGGAAGAAGAAGAAUUGUCUUGGGCCACACAUGAAAUACACUAACACUAAUGAUAGCUGAUGAGCUUAAAAAAAAACACAAAAUGUUUUAAGAAAGUUUAUGAAUUUGUGUUGGGCUGUAUUCAAAGCCAUCCUGGGCUGCCUGCAGUCCAUGAGCUGUGGGUUGAACAAGUUUGCAUUAGAAAGUGAAAUGGGGGCAAGCCCAGUGUCAUGGCAGCCUCAGGUCCCCAGGAAGAGUUGUGGGGGAUGUCCUUAGAUUGGUAUCACACACCCACGUGGGAUGGAAGGUGUCUUCCUUUUGUCUCACUCUUGGUGGCCCUGGCCAUCUCCUGCCAGUGGUGCUGAAACAGGGCCUGCUGCAGAGACUGCAUGGCUGGUGACUGGCCCCGGUGUCUUGCAGACUAUGAUGCUGUGCUCACGGAGGCUGGAGAUUACACAGAAAAAUAUUUCAAGCUUCAAAAACUCUUUCAAUCUGUCUCAGGUACUUAGCACCCAUUUAACUUACGGGCCAGCCCUCCUCACGUGGAGUCUCUGUUCUGUGGAAAAGUGAGGAAGGAGUGGGUCUCCCUUGUGGGCAGCAGUUACACCGAGCUCCUGAGCACAAGGGCAACCUUAACUUCGAACCCUGGGCUUAAAAUCUGUGUGAUUUUUAAAAUAAGGGUUUCUAAGCAUUUUAUAAGCCUCAGUUUCUUCACUGAAGCAUAAAGGUAGUAACCUCCGUCUCCUGCGAUGACUGUGAAGAUUGAGUUACUCUUUGUAAAGCUCUUAGUACCAUGGAUGACAUAGUAACCCCUAGUAUGAAAGCAAAAGCCAUGCUGGAUAGGCAUGGGGGGCUUAGAGAAGGCAGUGGUCAUCUCAGGCACUUUUCGCCCUGUGCCCCAUCUCCAUUGCAGCAACUCCCCUGCCCCGAGUACCCCAACUUACUCCCAAGGCUGUGUAUCCCCGCAUGAGACCGUCGCUGUACCUCCCGCUGUGGGAUGCCCUAUCCUACUUAAAUGAGGUGAGUGCUGCUUGGCCACAGGAGGUGGACUGGCCUUUGGAGGGGUGGAGAGGGAUUCCUUCAGGAAACUUUUUAUUAGGAAGUGGGAGAACAAAUCCUCUGCAUUUCAUUCAAAUUUAGAACUGUGGGACAAGAGCCACCAGCUCCUUCCGGGUGGACUGUGAAGGGGUUUGACCUUGGAGUCAGUGUGCAGGGGAGGGGCAGCAGGAUGUCGGAGAAUCCUGGGUUCCCGCUUAGAUGAACCUGUCUGGAGAUGCUCUUGUUUGGACUGCAUGGUCCUUAUGGAAUCCACCUAGGAAAAGCUGCUGAGCUGGGAUCGGGAGACUAGCUUCUGCCCGCGCUUCACCAGCAGCUGGGCCUGAACUUCCUGGGUCACUGCUCCCCCUUUUCCAUCAGCCUUCCUGUCCUAUUUUGAAGACAGGUGAAAGCUGUUUGGAACUGAAACUGUAGCCCUUGGAUUCACAUUGGUUUUACCUCUGCUGUCACUAUUUUAGAGAAAAGGUAGUGACUGGUACACUAAAGAAACUACAUUUAUUUAAUGUAACUAAAUUUAAUUUAAUGAAAUAAACAUUUGUUUAGUGCAUAAUUCAUUGCUAGACUUCAACUAUUUUAGAAUACAAUUUAUUUACUCUUUUUUUUUUUUUUUCUUGAGACAGGGUCUUGCUCGGUGGCUCUGGCUGGAAUGCAGUGGCACAAUCAUGGCUCACUGCAGCCUUGAACUCCUGGGCUUAAGCAAUCCUCCUGCCUCAGCCUCUUGAGUAGCUGGGAUUACAGGAGGGCACCACCACGCCCAGCUACAUUUUUAAGUUUUUCGUAGAUGGGGGUCUCACUGUGUUACCCAGGCUGGUCUCAAACUCCUGGCCUCAAGUGAUCCACCUGCCUCGGCCUCCCAAAGUGCUGGGAUCACAGGCGUGAGCCCCUGUGCCCCAUCCAUUUCCUCUGUUAAUCAGUUCUUAGGAUUAUAGCGAUUGCUCCCUCAUCACCAUGCCCUGCCUUUCCCUGAGUUUCCUUCCUGGGCAGUGGAGACAUAAGCACAGAGCUGUGUCACAUGCAUCUGUUUUAUCAUUUCCCACUCAAAGAACCCUUGGGGACCAUUAGGCGGGACCAAAUGACAGGGUCUUAGGAAGGAGGAUCCUGACUGCUCAGCCCUCGGACUUCUGCUCCUGCCAUUUCUCCUCACAGCCAGUCAGGUCGCGUCAGCCCGUCAACAUGGAGAACCUGCCCAUCAACCAUGGGAGCGGCCAGUCCUACGGGCUUGUCCUGUAUGAGAAGUCCAUCUGCUCCGGAGGCCGCCUCCGUGCCCAAGCUCACGACAUGGCACAGGUGUUUUUGGAUGAGACAAUGAUAGGGAUUCUGAAUGACAAUAAUGAGGACCUGCACAUUCCUGAACUCAGGGAAUCACUGGAUCUGUCAGCAUCAAUGACUCUUCCCUGGAGGGCUUUACCAUCUAUUCCCUGGAGAUGAAAAUGAGCUUCUUUGAGAGGCUCCGCUCUGCCACCUGGAAGCCAGUCCCAGACAGCCACCAGGGCCCAGCCUUCUACCGUGGGACCUUGAAGGCUGGCCCUUCUCCCAAGGACACCUUCCUGAGCCUGCUGAACUGGAAUUAUGGAUUCGUGUUCAUCAAUGGACGUAACCUUGGGCGAUAUUGGAAUAUUGGGCCUCAGAAAACACUGUACCUUCCUGGAGCUUGGCUUCAUCCAGAAGACAAUGAGGUCAUCUUGUUUGAGAAGAUGAUGAGUGGCUCAGACAUCAAAUCUACAGACAAGCCCAUGCUGUAAAACCGUAUCUGAACUUUUUGUUUUUUGUUUUUUGAGACAAAGUCUCACUCUGUUGCCCAGGCUGGAGUGCAGUGGCCAGAUCUCGGCUCACUGCAAGCUCUGCCUCCUGGAUUCAUGCUAUUCUCCUGCCUCAGCCUCCCUGGCAGCUGGGACUACAGGCGCCCGCCACCACGCCCGGCUAUUUUUUUGUAUUUUUAGUAGAGACAGGGUUUCACCUGUUAGCCAGGAUGUUCUUGAUCUCCUGACCUUGUGAUCCACCCCCCUCGGCCUCCCAAAGUGCUGGGAUUACAGGCGUGAGCCACCACGCCCGGCCGUGAACAUAUUUUUUGGGUUGCUGGAGUUCAUCUAUAAGUCAUUUUUGAGGAAUAAGAUUUAUGUUAAGACUAUCAAACACAGUGUUGCCUACAAUAGCAAAAAUGUGAAAACAACAACAACAACAACAAUAAAAAACCAGCAGAGGAAUUGUUAUGUAUUUUGUAGUCUAUCUAUAUGAUGCCUAUUUUUAGGCUUUAAAAAGUCUUCAAAAUCUUUAAUGACUGAUUUAUCUAGUUAAAUGCUUAAUCCUUAGCAGGCUCUUAUUCUUUAAUUAAAUGUGCCUUUAAGUAGAUGUGAAUAAAAUAAAAACAAGUUUC
rnacentral:sRNA from 1 species